rnacentral:tRNA from 1 species
GCCGAUGUAGCUCAGUUGGUAGAGCGCGUCCAUGGUAAGGACGAGGUCGCCGGUUCAAUCCCGGCCAUCGGCU